rnacentral:rRNA from 1 species
UGGGGAAUCUUGGACAAUGGGCGCAAGCCUGAUCCAGCCAUGCCGCGUGAGUGAAGAAGGCCUUCGGGUUGUAAAGCUCUUUCGGACGGGAAGAAGUGGCGGGCUCUAACAUAGCCUGUCGAUGACGGUACCGUAAGAAGAAGCACCGGCUAACUACGUGCCAGCAGCCGCGGUAAUACGUAGGGUGCGAGCGUUAAUCGGAUUUACUGGGUGUAAAGGGCGUGUAGGCGGUUUCUCAAGUCCGAUGCUAAAGACCGAAGCUCAACUUCGGGAGUGCGUUGGAUACUGUGAGGCUAGACGGUCGGAGAGGGUAGCGGAAUUUCCUGAGUAGCGGUGAAAUGCGCAGAUACAGGAAGGAACGCCAAUAGCGAAAGCAGCUACCUGGACGAUUUGUGACGCUGAGGCGCGAAAGCGUGGGGAGCAAACC